rnacentral:rRNA from 1 species
AUGGAUCGCCCGCCACAUCUCGACUUCGACCUCAACGAGCCGCCACCGCCGUCGCCACCGCAUGAGUUCGCUGCCCCCGUUGCUCCUCCUCCUCCUCCGCCGCCGCCGCCGCCGCCGCCCCAGUUCCCGCCUCCCGCCAACGUGCAGGCCCAGCUGCUGCUCCCGCACCAGGCCCGCGAGCUAGCGCUGGCGUACCACCGUGCGGAAUCCUGGAGGUUAGCUGCUGCCACGGCCAGUGCGGCCGCGACCGCUGGCUCAUCGCUGGAGGUGCCGCCGCCGCCGGUUCUCCGGUCGCCCACUUUUGCUCCUUCGCCGCUGCCGCUGCCGCCGAUUAUCCAGUCGCCUACUUUUGCUCCUCCUCCGCCGCGGCCACACCAGCUCCCGCCUCCAGCCAACGUGCAGGCUCAGCUGCUGCUCGCGCACCAAGCCAGCGAGAUAGCGCUGGCCUACCAGCGUGGGGAAUGGUGGAGGUCGGCCAUGGCGGCCACGACGGCAGGUCCGUCGGCGGGGGUGCCGCCUCCAGCGCCAGCGCAGCACCCAGGAGUAGCGAGGUGGGGCGGGAACCGGUGCGCGUCCUGCGGCCUCCCCGAGCUGCCAGGAUCGACCAUUAUCUGCGACGCCUGCGAACGUGGGUUCCACCAAGCCUGCGUCCAAGUCGUGCGGCGGCCUCCGGUGGCCGUGAACGAGCGCUGGAUGUGCCCGGGAUGUGCGAUAGGAACCGUCAACGCCCAAGACAUCACCAGGCAGUUAUGUCAGCUCCCUCUUGAUCAUUUCCUUAUGGUUGGCCUACCUGUUCAAUAUCAAGAUUUCUUCAUAACUAACUUGGGAGAAAUCGAUAAACAUGCAAGCUACCACAAUUGCCACCAGAUAUGGCCGGUGGGUUUUACAUCUUACUGGCAUGAUAGAGUCACUGGUUCACUAUUUGAGUGUGAGGUGUGUGAUGGAGGGAGUUUUGCGCCUCUGUUUAAGGUCAGAAGGUUACCAUGUUCAGUGUUCCCCCUUCCAGAAGCCUCGACUAUUCUCUCUCAGAAUGGUGCAAGAAAGGCCGUUGCAACAAAGGAAAGUAGCAGUUUUAUUGGAGAUACUGCUAAUGAUAUGGAUGGUGAUAUUUAUAUGAUGGUGGAUACUCCCUCUGAGACCAGUCAAGAUUUCUUAUCAAUUUUUACCAGUGAUAUGGAGGAUCAAAGGACUUCUUCGUGCUGCAAUGAUGUACAGAGCUCAAAUAUGAUGUCACAAAUACUACCAUCAAAUUCUGAGAAUGUUCCACCAGGUAAAGAAGCCAAUAUUAAUGACCAAAUUGAUGGUCAAAGUAAUGUAGAUACGCCAUAUGGUAGACAUGGUGGGGUGACUGGGCUACACGAUCCUGCUCAGCCCAGCGGUUCUAGCAUCCGCAAGCUACCUCCGGGACGUCCUAUUAGCCAUAAGCUUCAACCAGAAUCGGCAGCAGAUGUUUUCCAGAUAUGGGAGUUCUUGGGGCGCUUUGCUGAAAUCAUUGAUCUCAAAGAAGUGCCUUCAUAUGAACAAUUAGAAGAUGAACUUGCUGACCCAUGGCCAAUUUGUGCAAGUCAGAAAGAAACACUGUCAAAGGGCAUUCAGGAUUGUAGGGAUUACUCUUCACCAAUGAAUUCCCCUGCAAAUGCUUCUACAUCACAUUCAAAUAGUGAGUCUGGUCUCUCUAAUAAUGAAGAGAUUGUGUCUGUAUUUAUUCCUGUUGAAACUUCCUCUAUGAAGGAAGCUCGUCUAGAUAAAUUGGCAGCCCAGACACUUGGGAGGUGCACUGGUACAAUAUUGCCCGGCGUUCAUCUUGCACUCAUUAAGGUUCUUUUUGGUGAGGUAUUAUCAAAGCUGAACAUUGACCCCAAAGAAUCAAAACCCAGGCGCGGAAGAAAGAAGGACACUGAGAGCCUUAUUUCAACAAAGGAAUUUAACUUUGAUAUGCUAACUGCUAACAAGUUGACUUGGCCAGAGUUGGCUAGAAGGUAUAUGUUAGCUAUUUCUUCCAUAAAUGGGUGCAUGGAUGUGUCUGAUAUUUCCAGUCAAGAAAGGGUGAAGUUAUUCCGCUGCCCACACGGUGAUGGUGGCAUCCUGUGCGGAGCAGUACCUGGGGUUGCCGGCAUGGAGAAGGAUGCCCGUCUGCUUCUGGAGGCGGAGAAUUUGAUAUGCAGCUCUCUAUCAACUGAAGGAAACAAGGUUUAUAUGAUGGAUUACAAGUAUUCUGCUGAGGUGCCUAUUGCUGAUAACAGAACAUUUCCAGAUUGGGCAGAAGCACUAGAGCCUAAAGCUGUUUUAUCUGUGUUGUCAGAGGCAUGCCGUGUAAACCCAAGAAAUGAAAGGAAAACUAUUUCCAUCUCAGAGAUCAUCUUGAAGAAGUGUCGUAUUGCUCUGCGCCGUGCCAUUUCCUCAGAUCAAUAUAAGCUUUUGGGGAAUCUGCUUGGAAGUAUUAUAGUGAACUCUAAUGAGUAUAUAUAUGAGGAUGAAGGCAUCCUUGGAUUUUCUGGUGUGGUGCCACGCCCUUUGGACUUCCGCACAAUUGACAUAAGGUUGGCUAUGGGAGCUUAUUGUGGAUCUUGGGAGAACUUUUUUGAGGAUGUGCAAGAGGUAAUCCGUAAUCUGCACACUGCAUGUGCAGAUCGAAUAGAUAUAGUGAAAAUGGUUCUGGAAUUCUCUAAGAGUGUUGAAUUGCAUAAGACAGAGGUGCUCGACCUUGUUCAGAAAUUUGAUUGCUACCUGUCUAGGGAGAAUACUGGUUCAGAAAUCCAUGGGGAGCUACAGGAUAUUCUGACAGCAACAACCAAAUUACCUAAAGCUCCAUGGGAGUAUGGUAUUUGCAAAGUGUGUGGGAUUGAUAGAGACGAUCACAUUGUUCUCUUGUGUGAUGGCUGCGACGCGGAGUACCAUACUUAUUGCCUGAGUCCACCACUAACUCGUAUACCACGAGGAAACUGGUUCUGCCCAUCGUGCAAGUUAAAGCCAGAGAGAUCACAUCUUGACCAGGGUGCUCAGGAUUUUAAACGACAGCGAAAAGGAGCAGAGUCUCAUGCAUUUCACGGCAAACCAUCGUGCAUGUCAGCUCAAAAGAAAUCACAUCUUGACCAGGGUAUUCAGGAUUUGAAACCACAACGGAAAGGACCCUAUCAUGACAUGCUUAUUAAGUUAGCUGCAGCAGUGGCAGAAAAAGAGUACUGGGAGCUUAGCACACAAGAGGAUUUGAAAGAUAAGGAGGAAAUGAGGAAUUCAUAUGGUGAAAUGGAUACUUUAUCGGACCAGAUUUCAAAAGUGCAGGAGUCAAUUGGCACACUAGAGUCAGAGCUUAAUAUGGCAUCCUUGAGAAGAGAUUUUCUGGGAAAGGAUUCCUUGGGGUGGAAUUCUGCAUCUGUCGUUGUUUAUGAAUCGGAUGAAGAAAUCCGUAGCAUUGUUGACUGGCUAAGGGAAUAUGAUCCAAGGGAGAAAGAGCUGAAACGUGGUAUCCAGCAGUACUGGCAGCGGCAGCGGCAUCUUCAUCACCUGGGUAAUUUCGUUCUCAGUGAUCCUCCAGUAUCAUCCAAGGGGUCGCCGAACAGCAGCGAGCAGCAGCUUAUGGAACUUCCCAGUACCAAGGCUGCAGCAAUUUUGGGGAAAACAUGCCGCUGCGACUGCUUAGAGCCUAUAUGGCCUGCUCAACACCACUGCACAGCAUGUCAUGAGACUUACUUCACGUCAAUGGAGUAUGAAGAUCAUGCUGGAAAGUGCAAUGGAGAUGUAAACAAGGGCAAGGAUUCUUCGGUUGAGCCUAGCUCCACCACUGAGUCCACAAAACUCAAGUCAUGCCCAUAUGACUUUGAACAGAUUUGCAGAAAAUUUGUCACCAAUGAUUCAAACAAGGAGAUAGUGAAGGAUAUUGGACUCAUUGGAUCAAACGGAGUUCCGUCUUUUGUCCCUUCACGUGCAGUUUUUAUUGAUCCUCCAGUCAUUCUGAAUAAAAACAAAAAGCAAGAUGACAUCCCAAAUGAUGAUUGUGUUUCCAGCUCCUUAGAGGAAUGCCAGGCAAUGUCUGUACAAAAGUUAGGGAAGGAGGGGUCCAAUUCUGCUCAAGAUUGUCCUGCAGCUAGUACUUCCUGUGAUGAAAAUGUGUCAAAAACUAAGGAGCCAGCCCCUGAUACUGAUACUACUUCCUGUGAGGAAGCGGCAUCUUCUGCAACAGACAUGCCAACAAGAUUGCUGGCUAUGGUACUGGCGACCAGCAUGUUGGAGAGAGUGAUAAAAUCCGAGUUCUUGAAGAAUGAUUGGUGGUACUGGUCCUCCUUCACAGUAGCUAUCAAGACCUCAACUGCAUCCUCGCUCGCUCUCAGGAUCUACACUCUCGACCACUCUAUCGUGUACACCAAGGAGCCUAACACCGUGCCGCCGGCUGACAGUACAAAGGUUGUGAACAAGGGGGGAAAGGGGAAAGAGCCAGAACAAUCAGCGUCGUAA